rnacentral:sRNA from 12 species
CUGACAGCCCCAGAGGACAAAGUCUCCAUUAAUCCAUGGAGCCGGCACAGCAGCUACAAUGCAAGCAAGCUGCCGUGUUAAUGUGCUGCAGCCUCUGCCAGGAAAGGGGCAGUCCCAAGGGAUAGGGUGUUGGUUUACACUUUGCAGUAUCCAGCUUCCAAAAAA